rnacentral:rRNA from 1 species
UUUCGCAAUGCCCGAAAGGGUGACGAAGCGACGCCGCGUGGGUGAGGAAGGCCUUCGGGUUGUAAAGCCCUGUCAGGAGUUAUGAAAUGUAAGUGCGCUAAUAACGUGCUUAUUUGACAAAGGCUCCAAAGGAAGCCACGGCUAACUCUGUGCCAGCAGCCGCGGUAAUACAGAGGUGGCGAGCGUUGUUCGGAAUUAUUGGGCGUAAAGAGCACGUAGGUGGGUUUGCAAGUCAGAUGUGAAAGCCUUCUGUUCAACGGAAGAAUUGCAUCUGAAACUGCUAAUCUUGAGUAUAGGAGGGGAGAAUGGAACUUCUGGUGGAGCGGUGAAAUGCGUAGAUAUCAGAAGGAACGCCGGCGGCGAAAGCGAUUCUCUGGCCUAUUACUGACACUCAGUGUGCGAAAGCUAGGGGAGCAAACGGGAUUAGAUACCCCGGUAGUCCUAGCCGUAAACGAUGGGCACUAAGUAGAGGGGUUUUA